UCAUCUAUAUCGUAUUUCCAAAUCCCAUCUCCAAAUCGCCGGUCAAUUGAUCCAAAAUUCCAUCUCCAAAACACUAACCUUCUCGUCACCGGACCAGAGACCAGUCCUCCAUCUCCUGCAUCCCUUGCUGCCGGCUGCCCUGCUCCGCCGCCUCCAAACGUACCAAAUCGUCGUAUUCCCUAACCCGCAUUUUCCGGUAGCAGACCGAGACGCACAUCUUCUCUGGUAUGACUGUACAGAAUUAAGCAUCUCCAAAGAAAUGCAGAUCUACAAAAAGAUAAGUUUAUUCUCUAUUCUUAAUUUUUCAUUUUUAAUGGAUUCUAUUAUUUUUCAAGAAAAAGUGAAAAAGGAUGCAAAGCUUUACCAAAUCUGCAGCCCAGAUUUUGCAGCAACAACUACUGCUUCCCCUGCACAUCCCCGUUCGUGAAGCUUCCCCUGCACAUCCUUGUUGAUGCCAUUCAUUUCAGCCUCUCUCCUCUAAAUACACGAACAUCCUCGUCCAGACUUUGCUUCAACCCCUCCGAAUCUAUCUCCAAUUGGCUGUGAUAUGAGACUUAUUUAUAAUGUUGAAGUAGGUAUAGAUUUAAUGUAACAGAUUUUGAAUUUCAAAUUUAUCUCUAAACAAUUAAUGUUAUUCUAGUAGAUUGUAAUAGUCUUAUUGGAAUUUGUAAGCAUGCUUUGUUUGUUGCAA